rnacentral:piRNA from 1 species
UAAGUUAGGCUAAUUGAGAUGGGAAGAUC